GACGAACGCUGGCGGCGUGCCUAAUACAUGCAAGUUGAGCGAUGAAGAUUGGUGCUUGCACCAAUUUGAAGAGCAGCGAACGGGUGAGUAACGCGUGGGGAAUCUGCCUUUGAGCGGGGGACAACAUUUGGAAACGAAUGCUAAUACCGCAUAACAACUUUAAACAUAAGUUUUAAGUUUGAAAGAUGCAAUUGCAUCACUCAAAGAUGAUCCCGCGUUGUAUUAGCUAGUUGGUGAGGUAAAGGCUCACCAAGGCGAUGAUACAUAGCCGACCUGAGAGGGUGAUCGGCCACAUUGGGACUGAGACACGGCCCAAACUCCUACGGGAGGCAGCAGUAGGGAAUCUUCGGCAAUGGACGAAAGUCUGACCGAGCAACGCUGCGUGAGUGAAGAAGGUUUUCGGAUCGUAAAACUCUGUUGGUAGAGAAGAACGUUGGUGAGAGUGGAAAGCUCAUCAAGUGACGGUAACUACCCAGAAAGGGACGGCUAACUACGUG
rnacentral:rRNA from 1 species